rfam:Triticum urartu cultivar G1812 contig909880, whole genome shotgun sequence.
AUGUUACUCUCUUCAUCCCGAAUUACUUGUCACAAAAAUAGAUGUAUCUAAACGUAUUUUAGUUCUCAUACAUCUGUUUCUAUCCAUUUCUACGACAAGUAAUUCAGGUCGAAGGAAGUAUUAA